rnacentral:rRNA from 1 species
CACGUAGGGGCCAAGCGUUGUCCGGAUUCAUUGGGCGUAAAGAGCUCGUAGGCGGUUCAGUUAGCCGGGUGUGAAAUCUCCGGGCUCAACCCGGAGGGGCCACCCGAUACUGCUGUGACUUGAGUCCGGUAGGGGAGUGGGGAAUUCCUGGUGUAGCGGUGAAAUGCGCAGAUAUCAGGAGGAACACCGGUGGCGAAGGCGCCACUCUGGGCCGGUACUGACGCUGAGGAGCGAAAGCGUGGGUAGCAAACAGG